rnacentral:rRNA from 1 species
UACGGAGGGUGCGAGCGUUGUCCGGAAUCAUUGGGCGUAAAGGGCGCGUAGGUGGCUUCUUAAGCGUGCGGUGAAAGCCUGGGGCUCAACCCCGGGUCGGCCGUGCGAACUGGGGGGCUGGAGCACUGUAGAGGCAGGCGGAAUUCCGGGUGUAGCGGUGAAAUGCGUAGAUAUCAGGAGGAACACCGGCGGUGUAGACGGCUUUCUGGACCGUAGCUGACGCUGAGACACGAAAGCGUGGGUAGCAAACAGG